rnacentral:rRNA from 1 species
UGGGGGAUAUUGCACAAUGGGCGAAAGCCUGAUGCAGCGACGCCGCGUGGGGGAUGAAGGCCUUCGGGUUGUAAACUUCUUUUGCUCUGAACAAGGCGCACCAUGGGGUGUGUUGAGUGUAGGGGUUGAUUAGCGCCGGCUAACUACGUGCCAGCAGCCGCGGUAAUACGUAGGGCGCGAGCGUUGUCCGGAAUUAUUGGGCGUAAAGGGCUUGUAGGUGGCUGGUUGCGUCUGUCGUGAAAGCUCAUGGCUUAACUGUGGGUUUGCGGUGGGUACGGGCUGGCUUGAGUGCAGUAGGGGAGGCUGGAAUUCCUGGUGUAGCGGAGGAAUGCGCAGAUAUCAGGAGGAAUACCGGUGGCGAAGGCGGGUCUCUGGGCUGUUACUGACACUGAGGAGCGAAAGCAUGGGGAGCGAACAGG